AUUGAACGCUGGCGGCAGGCCUAACACAUGCAAGUCGAGCGGAUGAAGGGAGCUUGCUCCUGGAUUCAGCGGCGGACGGGUGAGUAAUGCCUAGGAAUCUGCCUGGUAGUGGGGGAUAACGUCCGGAAACGGGCGCUAAUACCGCAUACGUCCUGAGGGAGAAAGUGGGGGAUCUUCGGACCUCACGCUAUCAGAUGAGCCUAGGUCGGAUUAGCUAGUUGGUGGGGUAAAGGCCUACCAAGGCGACGAUCCGUAACUGGUCUGAGAGGAUGAUCAGUCACACUGGAACUGAGACACGGGCCAGACUCCUACGGGAGGCAGCAGGGGGGAAUAUUGGACAGUGGGCGAAAGCCUGAUCCAGCCAUGCCGCGUGUGUGAAGAAGGUCUUCGGAUUGUAAAGCACUUUAAGUUGGGAGGAAGGGCAGUAAGUUAAUACCUUGCUGUUUUGACGUUACCAACAGAAUAAGCACCGGCUAACUUCGU
rnacentral:rRNA from 1 species